AAGGAGGUGAUCCAGCCGCACCUUCCGAUACGGCUACCUUGUUACGACUUCACCCCAAUCAUUUGUCCCACCUUCGACGGCUAGCUCCAUAAAUGGUUACUCCACCGGCUUCGGGUGUUACAAACUCUCGUGGUGUGACGGGCGGUGUGUACAAGACCCGGGAACGUAUUCACCGUAGCAUGCUGAUCUACGAUUACUAGCGAUUCCAGCUUCAUGUAGUCGAGUUGCAGACUACAAUCCGAACUGAGAACAACUUUAUGGGAUUUGCAUGACCUCGCGGUUUAGCUGCCCUUUGUAUUGUCCAUUGUAGCACGUGUGUAGCCCAAAUCAUAAGGGGCAUGAUGAUUUGACGUCAUCCCCACCUUCCUCCGGUUUGUCACCGGCAGUCAACCUAGAGUGCCCAACUUAAUGAUGGCAACUAAGCUUAAGGGUUGCGCUCGUUGCGGGACUUAACCCAACAUCUCACGACACGAGCUGACGACAACCAUGCACCACCUGUCACUUUGUCCCCCGAAGGGGAAGGCUCUAUCUCUAGAGUUUUCAAAGGAUGUCAAGAUUUGGUA
rnacentral:rRNA from 1 species